UACGAAGGGGGCUAGCGUUGCUCGGAAUCACUGGGCGUAAAGCGCACGUAGGCGGAUCUUUAAGUCAGGGGUGAAAUCCUGGAGCUCAACUCCAGAACUGCCUUUGAUACUGGGGAUCUCGAGUCCGGGAGAGGUGAGUGGAACUCCGAGUGUAGAGGUGAAAUUCGUAGAUAUCAGGUGGAACACCAGUGGCGAAGGCGGCUUUCUGGACGGUAACUGACGCUGGAGACGCGAAAGCGUGGGGAGCAAACAGG
rnacentral:rRNA from 1 species